rnacentral:rRNA from 1 species
CAAUAGCGUAUAUUAAAGUUGUUGCAGUUAAAAAGCUCGUAGUUGGAUUUCUGGUGGGAGCGAUCGGUCUGGCGCUUAGCGCGAGUACUUGCAUCGUCUCCGGCCAUCCUUGGGGAGAGUCUGUCUGGCAUUAGGUUGUCGGGCAGAGGAUCCUCAUCGUUUACUGUGAAAAAAUUAGAGUGUUCAAAGCAGGCUUAUGCCGUUGAAUAUAUUAGCAAGGAAUAAUAAGAUAGGACUUUGGUACUAUUUUGUUGGUUUGCGCACCAAAGUAAUGAUUAAUAGGGACAGUUGGGGGUAUUCGUAUUCCGUUGUCAGAGGUGAAAUUCUUGGAUUUACGGAAGACGAACUACUGCGAAAGCAUUUACCAAGGAUGUUUUCAUUAA